rnacentral:lncRNA from 1 species
GGAGAAGAUGUGGUGGCUUCCGUUUGUUGGUGGAGGAGGUGGCAGGCCUCGGCGGUUCAUCUGGGUUGCUCUAAAUGACACUGUUUGAUUAUUCUGAUAGCCGAAGAAUAUUCCCCAGUGUUUCUUCAUGUGGCUGCAGAUGGCAGGAUUUCCCAAAGCUUUAUGGCUGAAACAUAUUCCGUGGUGUAUCUGUAUGGCAGAUUCUUCAUCCCUGAAGCUGUGUACGGACAG